GCAUACCCCACAGGGAUUCAAAUUUUGACAGUGGUCGAAGCCUUAAUCGCAAAGUUCCCAUGUCUCAGGGAACCGGGGUCUUUUAAUGGCCUUUAUGGGUGGCAGCAGAGGAUGAAAUGGAAAAUGGGGAAUUACCGUGCAAAAUUGAGAGGCCGUCAACUUGCCUGUCCAGAGCUGGAAGUGAACUUGCUGAAAAGACAGAGGUCAAAUGAGAGUGGUUCAAGCAAAGGCAUCAAAAAGCCCAAGAAAGCAGAGGUAAACUACCUGCCUCCACUGCCAAUUGGGGACACGGAAGACACUUUAGAGAAGGAGAGGGUAGACAUGCUGCAAGAAAUUAAGAAGAAAAACAAUGAGCGGAUAAUAUCUGAGAAAAUGGAAAGAUCUUUCUCCUUCCGAAGACAGGAAGUUGUAAAGCAGUGCCCCGCCAUCCAAGAUUUCCGGGAGAGAUGGCCUGCUCUUUUCUCUGAAGCUCAGAUAAAGGAGGAAUUCAAAAGAAUCACAACGGUUCCCUUGGAAAGAACUUUUCUCACUAAGCUGGACUUCUACACUCCAAAAAUGCAGGAGAUAUUCAGCAAAAAAGGCGGAGUAGCUGGAACCAAAAUAUGACCACUUCUGGAUUCACUCAGCCAGCAACACGUUGAAGCGAGACGGGAGGCCAUUAUUCGCCCCCUGAUGGAAUUCCUGGGGGAGUCUUCAGGGGAACUCAUCAAGGACUACAAGGAUAUCAACAGAGAGGCAGCUCAAGAGGACCAGGCUGAGCAAGUUCUAAAGAUCUGUGUCUUCCACACAAGUGGAGCAGAUGCAGCCAACGCUGAUGUGUCUAUUGUUGUCGAAGGGACUGAGGUACUCCACAACUGUGGAAGUGUUGCAAAGGCCUGUCUCCUGCUGAUGGGCAUCAUUUAUGCUUCUUCUAGAGCUUGAUGUCCUUAAGCUGUCCCCGAAAAUCCUGUCUCUGCGAAACAAGCUUAUAGCUUGAGUGCUUGUUUGACCCAAGAGUUGUCGGGGCACUAAAAGAAAAAAACAGCACAGUUGUUUGUGUCUAUUUGUGUAUUUUCUUCUUUUUCUCUCGUUU